rnacentral:misc_RNA from 1 species
GGAAGUAAAAGGUCGUAACAAGGUUUCCGUAGGUGAACCUGCGGAAGGAUCAUUAUUGUAUAACCGAGGUGCGAGGGCUGUCGCUGACCCGAAAGGUCGUGCACGCCCGAGUGCCCUCACACACAUCCAUCUCACCCCUAUGUGCACCACCGCGUGGGUCCCCCUUUGGCUUGUUCGGAGGGGGGCUUACGUUUUCACACAAUCUUUGUAUGCAGUGUAGAAUGUAUUUUUUGUUUUUGCGAUCACGCAAUCAAUACAACUUUCAACAACGGAUCUCUUGGCUCUC